GUUUAAGCAGCCGCGGUAAUACGGAGGAUGCAAGCGUUAUCCGGAUUUAUUGGGUUUAAAGGGUGCGUAGGCGGAUUAAUAAGUCAGUGGUGAAAACCUUCAGCUUAACUGGAGAACUGCCAUUGAUACUGUUAGUCUUGAGUACGGUCAAGGUAGGCGGAAUGUGUAAUGUAGCGGUGAAAUGCUUAGAUAUUACACAGAACACCGAUUGCGAAGGCAGCUUACUGGGCCAUUACUGACGCUGAUGCACGAAAGCGUGGGGAGCGAACAGGAUUAGAAACCGUCGUAGUCC
rnacentral:rRNA from 1 species